rnacentral:misc_RNA from 1 species
GAUGAAGAACGUAGUGAAAUGCGAUACUUGGUGUGAAUUGCAGAAUCCCGUGAACCAUCGAGUCUUUGAACGCAAGUUGCGCCUGAAGCCAUUAGGCCGAGGGCACGCCUGCCUGGGCGUCACACGUCGUUGCCCCCCCAUCUACUCCUUCGGGAUUGCGGGGGGCGGAUGAUGGCCUCCCGUGCGCCUCGUCGCGCGGUUGGCAUAAAUGCCAAGUCCUCGGCGACGCACGCCACGACAAUCGGUGGUUGCGAAACCUCGGUUGCCCGUCGUGUGCGGUCGUCGCGCAUCGAGGGCUCGAAAAAAUUGCCGGGCUCCGGCUCGGCUUUCAACGCGACCCCAGGUCAGGCGGGGUUACCCGCUGAAUUUAAGCAUAUCAAUAAGCGGAGGA